GGGUAGUUUGACUGGGGCGGUCUCCUCCUAAAGAGUAACGGAGGAGCACGAAGGUCAGCUAAUCCUGGUCGGACAUCAGGAGGUUAGUGCAAUGGCAUAAGCUGGCUUGACUGCGAGCGUGACGGCGCGAGCAGGUGCGAAAGCAGGUCAUAGUGAUCCGGUGGUUCUGAAUGGAAGGGCCAUCGCUCAACGGAUAAAAGGUACUCCGGGGAUAACAGGCUGAUACCGCCCAAGAGUUCAUAUCGACGGCGGUGUUUGGCACCUCGAUGUCGGCUCAUCACAUCCUGGGGCUGAAGUAGGUCCCAAGGGUAUGGCUGUUCGCCAUUUAAAGUGGUACGCGAGCUGGGUUUAGAACGUCGUGAGACAGUUCGGUCCCUAUCUGCCGUGGGCGCUGGAGAAUUGAGGGGGGCUGCUCCUAGUACGAGAGGACCGGAGUGGACGCAUCACUGGUGUUCGGGUUGUCAUGCCAAUGGCAUUGCCCGGUAGCUAAAUGCGGAAGAGAUAAGUGCUGAAAGCAUCUAAGCACGAAACUUGCCCCGAGAUGAGUUCUCCCUGACUCCUUGAGAGUCCUGAAGGAACGUUGAAGACGACGACGUUGAUAGGCCGGGUGUGUAAGCGCAGCGAUGCGU
rnacentral:rRNA from 1 species